CUUCCCAGGCCGACGUGGAGGCGGCUCCCGAGGAAACCCGGCGGCUGUACCGGGAAUACCGGAAGCUGAAGAAGGAGCUGGGAAAAGCUUCGGAUCCCUCUGGAAAACCGGGAGCCCGGGAAACCCCCCCCGGGGAGCAGGAUUCGGGAUUUUGGGGCUCCCACCUGAACAGGAAACCGGGAAUUCCCGGGAAGAGCCGGAAACUGGGAA